CCACGGUGAGUAACACGUAUCCAACCUGCCGUCUACUCUUGGCCAGCCUUCUGAAAGGAAGAUUAAUCCAGGAUGGCAUCAUGAGUUCACAUGUCCGCAUGAUUAAAGGUAUUUUCCGGUAGACGAUGGGGAUGCGUUCCAUUAGAUAGUAGGCGGGGUAACGGCCCACCUAGUCAACGAUGGAUAGGGGUUCUGAGAGGAAGGUCCCCCACAUUGGAACUGAGACACGGUCCAA
rnacentral:rRNA from 1 species